UCACCACUCUGGCCUUAAUGGCUUAGAUCAAGUGUAGUAUCUGUUCUUUUAGUCUUAAUCGACUAAACGCUGUCACCGACAGCUAUACCGAUUAUUCAAUUUUUGUCGCCCGGGUGGCUUGCUCCUCUGCUUGCACGAGUAGCCACAAGAUGAUCUUGCCAUUACAGUACUGGCUCGUAUCGUCGCGGGAU
rnacentral:snRNA from 1 species